AUGGGCGAGGAGGUGGAAGCCGGCAGCGGCUGCUCCGUGGCACGAGGCCAUGGUGAGCAGGCGGUGGCCAUGGACGGUGAAGCAGCACGGCGGCAAGCUUCUGCAGCCAUGGAAGAGACGAGGCAAGGGGCGUCAGAGCUCCAUGGAUCGGGUGCGGGGAGCUCCUCUCCCUGGCCCGAUGCGUACGUGCGGCGCUGGAGGGAUCGAGAUAGGCAGAGUGAGUUGGGGAUGGGGACAAGCGAGGUAGAUGCUAGGGUUACAUCGAUGCGCGGCUGGGCCUUACAGAUGGAUGGGCCGGCCUGGGAGUCAGGCCCAAGAGGCCAGCGGGCUAGCUAUCUUUCUCUCCUCUCUUCUAUUCCCUUCUCUUUUCAGAAAAAAAAUAGGGAGAGACUAAAAGAAUCAAGAGAAAAGGCAAUGGAGAAGAAUAAAAUUGUGGGAUAUUUUUGUCAGGAUUUACGGUAUAUUUCCAACCCAACAAAAGUAGUUCCCGCAAAAAAAGGCGAAGUUAAAUCCAAAAUUAUUUAA
rnacentral:rRNA from 1 species